UCCUUUGUCGUGUAAUCUCUGAUCCUUGGAGAUUAAUUUUUGUAGAGCCCAUGAUUCAAUAGGAAUAAAAUUUUGUGAAUCCUAACAGAAAAAUAAAAAGAAUUACUUUAAUUAUGAUUAUUAAUUAUAGUAAAGUCAUGCUAAUUUUACAAUAAAAAGCUAAAAAUAUAAUAUUUAAAGAAAAAUAAGUGAAAAGAUAAUUUUAUCUAUUAUAAUAUUAUAAAUAUAAAUUAUAGAUUAUACAUAUAAAUUAUUAUGAUAUAAAUUAUGAUGUAAAUAAUUGGAUAAAAUAAUUCUGAUACUACCUAUCAUAUAUUAUGAUACAAUACCUCUAACCAAAUGUACUAUAAAAUAAUCCGAUAUUAUUAUACCUUAUCCUCAGUCCAAAUGACUCCUAAAUGAAAUACUCUCUUCAUUUUAAAAGAAUGACUUGUUUAAUUUGGUAUAAAAUUGAAGAAAAUAAAAACUUUGAUCUUAAAUAAAAGUUACGUUAGAUGUAUCUAAAAUAUCUUUUAAUUUUAUGCUCUUAAAUAUGUCAUAUAAAAAAAAAAAAAUUAAAAUAUUAUCAAUUAUUUCUUUUUAAACGGAAAAAAAAAAUAGUUCAUGAGUUUGGCAUACAUUGGGAUUGGGGACUACUAAUAGAUAUCAUGAGCCAAAGCACUAUUUGCUCUUCAGAAUUUUGCUUCUCUAAUCAACACUGCAACUGAGCAAAGUAGAAGAAGAGUGGGGGAAAUGGAGGGUACUAAGGGAGGAGUAGUGAAGCACAUUUUGCUAGCAAAGUUCAAAGAUGAAAUCUCACCUGACAAAAUUGAUCAACUCAUUAAGCAAUAUGCCAAUCUUGUCAAUCUCAUUGAACCCAUGAAGGCUUUUCAUUGGUACUCCUCAUCUUUCUUAUCUCCGUCACUAAUUUUCAAUCUUGAUGUG
rnacentral:lncRNA from 1 species